GUUUUAGCCUCUUGUCCACUUAACCUAAUUCUGUCUGAGCUUUUUCCACAUUACAUCAGUCAAAGUUCUUUGAGACUGUGUACGCAGCCUGACUGUUUUUUUCGUGCACUUUCUGAAAGAAAUCAAGUCCUCAACUGUCUUUUUGUACAUAUUGUUUAGGGGGGGGGGGGGGGGGGUGGAAACAGGGAUUGCCUAGAUGCCUCUACUGUUUUUGGGAUCCGAGUCUUAAUGAAUGUUCAAGUUUGUUUCAUUGUAAAUGCAGAGGUUGAGAACACGGCUCUUUGUCUGUAAAUAUGCAUCGGGAGCACACAGGUAAAUGGGCGAGGACUGAGGACAAUCACUAAUUAUCAAUCACUAAAAUCGAUUCUACAACAUUCCAGAUGCCUUGCAUUCAAAACAUGUCUUAAAGAAGCACAACAGGUUAACAUCAUCCAAUUUGAAGGAAGAGAGUAUAUUUAAAAAAAAGCCCGAUCCCCACAGUUUAAACAAAGACACGCGUGUUGUCUUUCGAGGACUGACGGCUCGGGGGACCCGGUGUUUGAGAAGUCAAUCCAACUUCUGGUUUUAAUAACUGCAUCUUUUUUAACAGCGAUAUACUAUACUCGUUCAGCUAAAAUAACUCAUUGUAACGUUGAAUAAGAACUGUAACCCACACGUAAUUGAGGCUAGUCGGCUAAUCUAGCAUAGGACGAACCAGGUUGUCUUUUUUUUUAUUGGGUAUACUAGUGAAAGACAAUGUUUUUAUGUUCACACACAGUGGCUUCAGAUGUUAGUGGUAAUUAGAGCUUCAUGCUGCAAGAGGCUUCUUAAGUACUGCCAACACUGUGAUUAAUAAAGGAGCAGUUUUACAAUAUGACAUUCCAAUAAAUGCAGAAAUGGACAGGGGGAAAGUGGAGUGCUGUGAUGAACUGUUGGGACGUGGGUUUGACUUGGUACAGAAAUGACAUCAUGAAAUAUUCAAUAUA
ensembl:lncRNA